UACGUAGGGUGCAAGCGUUAAUCGGAAUUACUGGGCGUAAAGCGUGCGCAGGCGGCUUUGCAGGACAGAUGUGAAAUCCCCGGGCUCAACCUGGGAACUGCAUUUGUGACUGCAAGGCUGGAGUACGGUAGAGGGGGAUGGAAUUCCGCGUGUAGCAGUGAAAUGCGUAGAUAUGCGGAGGAACACCGAUGGCGAAGGCAAUCCCCUGGACCUGUACUGACGCUCAUGCACGAAAGCGUGGGGAGCAAACAGG
rnacentral:rRNA from 1 species